rnacentral:rRNA from 1 species
CGCGUAGGUGGUCUGUUAAGUUGGAUGUGAAAGCCCCGGGCUCAACCUGGGAACUGCAUCCAAAACUGGCAAGCUAGAGUACGGUAGAGGGUGGUGGAAUUUCCUGUGUAGCGGUGAAAUGCGUAGAUAUAGGAAGGAACACCAGUGGCGAAGGCGACCACCUGGACUGAUACUGACACUGAGGUGCGAAAGCGUGGGGAGCAAACA